rnacentral:rRNA from 1 species
GACGAACGCUGGCGGCGUGCUUAACACAUGCAAGUCGAACGGAAAGGCCCUGCUUUUGUGGGGUGCUCGAGUGGCGAACGGGUGAGUAACACGUGAGUAACCUGCCCUUGACUUUGGGAUAACUUCAGGAAACUGGGGCUAAUACCGGAUAGGAGCUCCUGCUGCAUGGUGGGGGUUGGAAAGUUUCGGAGGUUGGGGAUGGACUCGCGGCGUAUCAGCUCGUUGGUUGGGUAGUGGCUUACCAAGGCUUUGACGGGUAGCCGGCCUGGGAGGGUGACCGGCCACAUUGGGACUGAGAUACGGCACAGACUCCUACGGGAGGCAGAAGUGGGGAAUAUUGCACAAUGGGCGGAAGCCUGAUGCAGCAACGCCGCGUGCGGGAUGACGGCAUUCGGGUUGUAAACCGCUUUCGCCUGUGACGAAGCGUGAGUGACGGUAAUGGGUAAAGAAGCACCGGCUAACUACGUG